rnacentral:rRNA from 1 species
UACGGGGGGGGCAAGCGUUGUUCGGAAUUACUGGGCGUAAAGGGCUCGUAGGCGGCCAACUAAGUCAGACGUGAAAUCCCUAGGCUCAACCUAGGAACUGCGUCUGAUACUGGAUGGCUUGAGAUUGGGAGAGGGAUGCGGAAUUCCAGGUGUAGCGGUGAAAUGCGUAGAUAUCUGGAGGAACACCGGUGGCGAAGGCGGCAUCCUGGACCAACACUGACACUGAGGAGCGAAAGCCAGGGGAGCAAACGGG